GUCAGAAAAUUUGCCUUUGAGCUGGCAGUGCACUUCAGCUGCCCUUUCCCUGCAUCCUGGUCGAGGAAGAGCAUGGCGGGGAAGGACUGGUUCACCUCCUUCAUGGAGCGCAGUGGCAGCCUCUCCCUUCGGCGUCCAGAGGCCACUAGCCAACAACGGUUGUCCAGCUUCAACCAAACAAAUGUAAACUUGUUCCACCAAAAUUUAAAGACGGUGCUGGACCGGCACCAGUUCCAGGCCAAGGACAUUUGGAACAUUGAUGAAACCGGGGUCACCACUGUCCAGGUGCCAGACCGUGUCGUCACCCAGAUGGGGCAGAAGCAGGUCGGGUCAGUGACCUCAGCAGAGAGGGGGACCCUGGUCACAGUUGCCCUGGCAGGCAAUGCGCAGGGCGACCUUGUUCCGCCAUUCUUCAUCUUCCCCCGUAAGCGGUUCAAAGACCACUUCCUGGACCCGUUGGCUGUGCUGGCAGCGGCAACCCAACUGGCUGGAUGAAGGAGCCAGACUUCCUCCUGUACCUGGCCCACUUGACCAGGCACACCCGUGUGUCCAAGGAGUCGAAGCUGCUCCUCCUGCUGGACAAUCACCCGUCCCACCUGUCAAUUGCAGCAAUUGAUUACUGCAGAGCCAAUGGCAUAGUGCUGCUGUCAUUCCCUCCCCACUGCACCCACAGGUUGCAGCCAAUGGACAUUAGUGUCUUCGGCCCCCUAAAGGGGUACGUAAACAGUGCGGCGGACAGGUGGAUGAGGAGACACCCAGGGAUAAACAUCUCAAUUUAUGAUGUGCCCUCCAUCGUUGCUGAAGCCUUACCAAAGGCUGCGACAGUGAACAACAUUACCUCCGGGUUCUCAAGUCCAGGGAUCUGGCCUUUUAACCCCUCUGCGUUUGAGGAAAAGGACUUCGCCGGAGCCUAUUCCACAGACCGUCCUCCUCCCCAGGCUUCGGGUGACGAGGUCAGCGCUUCUCCAGGUGCCACUUCAGGCAUGGAUGUACCUGAUCGAGCUGCCGGGCCUGACGAAGCUGUCCGGCCUGAGGGAGAGGCUGUUAAGUUCAGCCCGGACAUCGUCCGGCCUUACCCUAAGGCCGGACCUAGAAAGAUCACAAAGAGAAGAGGGAGAAAGAGGACAACUGCUAUACUUACGGACACCCCGGUGAGGGCUGCUUUAGACAGGGUUCGUACGGUCAUGAAAAACCUGGAAAAGUCAUGGAAUUUUAAAAUGGUUAUUUCCAGGCCUAGAAAAGUGCUUGAAAAAAAUAAAGUCCCAAAAGUUUUGGAAAAGUCAUGGAAUUUUUUUUUAUUCAUAUUUUCUUGUCGUUCAUUUACGCUGAGUUUUAAAUCAUGAAUAUGCCUUUAAAUGAAAUACGCUCAAAGUAUAAACAGGCACGCGCUGAAACUAAAACAUACGCAACUGAAACGUUUGUUGGCCAUAGCAACAGUAUCUGAGGGAAGCCAAAAUUAUUCAAAAUGCCAGGGAAGUGUAGGUUCAACAAUGCUUGGUUGCGAAAUGAGAAAUAUAUGUCAUGGGUUUCAUCCGACAAAGACCCGGGCCGAGCUAAAUGUAGGUUAUGUGGUGACAAAACGUUUGACAUAUCUAACAUGGGAGAGGCGGCAUUAACGAGCCAUGCGAAAGGCGCUAAACACCACAGCCAGGGCAACUGCUACGGCAAACAGCACGUCUCUCUCUUUGGUCUACUGCGGAGGUAAUGUGGGCACUGAAGGUGGCUAAUUCGCAUUAUUCAUUUAAGUCAUCUGAAGAUGCUAGCCUGCUCUUAUAAAGAAUGUUCCCCGAUAGCCAGAUAGCAACACAGUUUGCUUGUGGCGAAAGCAAAUGCUCGUUCCUCUGCUCUUUCGGUCUCGCUCCCCACUUCAGGAGUCUGACGUUGUCCAACGUAAUGAAGCAAAGGGCAUACGUCAUUCUCUUCGACGAAAGCCUGAAUAGUUAUUUACAGUCCAAACAGAUGGAUUUACAUGUGAGGCUAUGGGAUGGCGCCGAUGUUAAGACAAAAUACAUCGUGUUUGAUAAAGCUGUUUAAAUGUGAAAUUGUUUUGGUUGAUUAAUGGUCAAAGAGUUAGUUGCCAACUGUUCUGUUACAUUUUGCACUAGAAAAGGGAAAUCAAUGUUUGCACUAGCUGGAUGCUUCUGCAUACUAAAGCUCUUAUUGAUGUCAGUGCUGUGAAUGCAACCAGUAUAUCUAUAAAUGUUCAUUCUUUAAAUCAAACUAUUGUCUCUCAAUUUUGUGUCAUUUAAUGUAUACAGUAUGCCUCCGAAUUCCCAUUGUUAGUUUUAAUACUACAUUUUAUCACUUUUGCACGUUAACACCGAGAUUUCACAAAAUGUUUGGUCAUGGAAAUUUGGUUUACAGUCAUGGAAAAGUCAUGGAAAAGUCAUGGAAAUCCAUUGGUCCAAAAGUGUAUGAACCCUGUUUAGAGGCGGAAAAGCAGGGAACUGGGAAGCAGCGUCGUCCCGCCAAGCAGCCUCCCUCCUCUCGGGCUCCCAAGAAGAGGCUGUUCUCGCCCGCUCCUGAUGCCGGAGUUGCUGGAGUUGCCACCUCAGCUGCUCCUCCCACCAUAACCUGGCCCGCUGAUGGAGUCAGCCCCACCUUAGGCCUAGUUUGUCCUGUUCCGGAGGCAGCAGAGUUCACCACCAUUGCUGCCUCCACUUCUCCAAUUUAUUUAGGCCUAUCCAGCGAGGACGUCAGCUGCCUCGUGUGCUCCGAGCUCUUCAGCGCCUCGAUGCCUGGGGAAGAGUGGGUCCAGUGUGUCUUUUGUUAUAAGUGGUCGCAUGAGGCUUGCACCGACGGGAGUGCACACUACCUGUGUCACCUGUGUGACAAAGAAUACAAAUAUUCAGCCUACUAUACUGUCCAUGUGUCUGCACUAGUUUGCAGUGGAAAUACUGUAAAUGUAGGCCUACAGCACAAUUCACUUAACAUUCUAGACUGAUUAACUAACUAACUAUUAGGCCUGGGUUAGGCUAUGAGUGGGAGCUGGGCUAUUAAAUAUUUCGCUGGGUAGGCCUACUUUUCGUCCAUGAUUGUAACGCAUCCAAAAUAACAACGGCUACAUUAAAUUAUGACAAUAAUAAUUGAAUUUAGUGGACAUGCACACUUAAAAACUGCUGGGUAUAAGCUAUAGGCUAGCCUUCUACACCCUUGCUCUUGGUCAUGACACAUGGCAUGCCGAUUUAUCUUUUUCUCCAGCCAUUACCAUCAAUCAGCUAGAGUGCAAUAUUAAUCAAAGUUCUGCUUGUUAUAUGAUUUCAACAUAAUGUUCAUGUCAAUGUGCAGACUAUUACACAAUAUUUAUCAGAUAAAAUAAGUUUAGCCACUUACCUGUCCACAGAGACUCCGGAUGCUUCUGUGCGCCAGGCUGUCCGUGUCGAAAAGAAAUUAACCCUGUGCGGCGCUUGGAUACAUUUCCGCUGUAACAGGUCUCGUGAUAUCCUGUUGACCUGGUCGUUUUUGUUUAAAAUAAAUAAAAGGAUGUUCAACUGUGUAUCCUUAAACAUGACUUAGGACAGGGAAAUAAGUAAAUUUAAUGAAAAUGUAGUCGUCCAAAAGAAGAAAGGUGAGUUUUAAUCGAAAUGUGCAUCUUGAUAAUUACGCACGGGCCAAAAAUAUAUUUUGACCUAUUUAUAUGAUGCGGAAUAAUGUGAAAUUUUAGCAAUGACGAGUAAACUAGUAUGUUGUCUAGUAUGUUGCAUAAAAACAAGAGUAAGGGCAAUAGAUUAUUUUUAAAAUAUGCUGUUUCAAUCGUCCCACAUGUGUGUUUCAAACGUCCCUAUUAGGCGGGGCGUUUGAAACAAAUGUCAACUUACGUUCAAAGUUAAAAAACAGCUCGAUCGUCCAACAUAUGUAUUAAAUUUCACUUGUAACUAAGAGAACACACCUGUGAGUUGUUGAUCACAUGUUAAAAUUAUUUGUAUACGUAACGUCAUCUUUGAAAAAGACGUUUAACUGAAAAGUGUUUCAAUCGACCCGGCUCUCCCCUGCUAGAGGAACGCCGUAUUUUACGCGCGUUUUGAUGUUCAAAACGCGCGUAUUUUACGCGCGCUCUUGAAAGGCUUAAUUGCGGCGUAAAAAGCGGCGCUUUUUUGCGCAUGACGGCGUAAAAUACGCUGUUUUUCUACAUUUUACGGCGUAUUUUACG
rnacentral:lncRNA from 1 species